CCUACGGGAGGCAGCAAUUAGGAAUCUUGCGCAAUGGGCGAAAGCCUGACGCAGCGACGCCGCGUGACUGAUGAAGUCUCUCGGGAUGUAAAAGUCUUUUAGCAGGGAAGAAGAUCUGACGGUACCUGCUGAAUAAGCCCCGGCUAACUACGUGCCAGCAGCCGCGGUAAUACGUAGGGGGCGAGCGUUGUCCGAAGUUACUGGGCGUAAAGCGCGCGUAGGCGGUUGCUUAAGUUAGAUGUGAAAUCCUGGGGCUCAACCCCAGAACUGCAUCUAAAACUGGGCAACUUGAGGACGGAAGAGGGCAGUGGAAUUCCUGGUGUAGCGGUGAAAUGCGUAGAUAUCAGGAGGAACACCCGUGGCGAAGGCGGCUGCCUGGUCCGUAACUGACGCUGAGGUGCGAAAGCUAGGGGAGCGAACG
rnacentral:rRNA from 1 species